rnacentral:tRNA from 1 species
GGCCCCAUGGUCAAGUGGUUAAGACGUCGCGUUCUCAGCGCGGAAUCGAGGGUUCGACUCCCUCUGGGGCUAUCA